UUAACCAUUCUAUUGCAGGUUUCAUCCCAAAAAUCCAUCAACAUGUGGAUAUAGGCUGCCAACAAGCUUCUUUAAACUUCUUUAAGUCUCUACAAGCUUAAUUCACUUAAAAAUCUCUCUCAAGGAGCAAAUAAACUAAACCCCAGCUGAGAAGUAAACCAAUUACCUCAAGUUCGAAGCUUCCAAGACUGGUUUUCCCACUUUGGCAUCUCCAAACAAGACCAAACACCAAAGCUACCACUUCUCCAACAAUUCCUUCACUAGUUUGCUUCUUGGAUUGAGAGAAAAAGAGAGGGAAAUUUAGAUAAGAAAAAAGCUGCGGAGUGUUGUUCAAGUACCUGGGCAAGUGCUAGACAUCUGAGUUAAAAAGAUAAGAGCAGAAAAUUGCAACUUAACCCCUUAAAAAACUAAAACUGCAUUGCAGUCUAGUAGUUCACAGUUCAGUCCCUGCAGGUUCGCAAAUCAGUCCCUGCAGGUUUACGAAUCAGUCCCUGCACUAAACAGAAGCUGGCAGCAGCAGUUUUCAGCCCCGUUUGCGCGUCUAGUUCACUCCGAACUCACUCUAACACCUCCAAAACAUGCCAAAGCAUCUUCACAAGCUACCAAAUUAAUUUGGAAGCAUUUAAUUUCCAUUUUAGCAUUAUCUUGACCAUUUUGAUCAAGAUUAGCAACAUAAUCAAUGAUCCGACAUAUUACAUUUAGAGUUUAGGAAUCCCUUUGCUCUAGAUUAAUUACAAUAACCCUAAUCCGGAAUUAAGAUUAAUCUACAGGUUUCCUCUUUAAUAGUUAAUUCACAUGUAUAUUACAUAUCUAUACACAUAACAUAUAGUUUUUUUCUAGAUUCCUUUUCAUAGUAAUAUGAACUCUAGAAGCUAAAACCUGCAGCUCAAGUCUUUAUAGAGUAAUUAACACCACUCAACAUAUAGCUUGUUCUCUAAAUCUUCAUGAUAAAAUAAGUUCUAGCAACCUAGAAAUCCUUUCUUAGGGUAAUUAAAAUAAAUCCUAGCAACAUAUGGCUUGUUCUCAGGUUGAUUGCUUCAUAGAUUAAUUGCUUCACACAUAUAUAUACAUAUAUGGCUUCUUAACAUGGCAUUUACUCUCUUUAGCAACCAAAAUUUAUAGCUCCACCCUUUUUAAAGUAGAUAAUCCAAUACUAUCCAGGAAAAUAUAGCAACUUUACCUCCAAUUGAAUACUUCAACCGCCCAUCGACCAUAAUUAACUAUCUCCCUCAUGCUAAUAUACAUAGAAUAUGCAUAAUAAUAAACAUAGCCUAUAGUAGCUGGGCUAAUUAAUUAGCAAGCCUCCUAUGCACGUAAAUACACCACCUAUGUUGUUUCAUGGCAAUUUCAACUCUAGCAGCUAGGAAAUCCUCUCAUAGAGUAAUUAGAACAAGCCUAACCAACCUCUGGUUCUAUUUCCAAUCCACAGCUCACAUAUAUGAUGCUCAUAUAUAGCUUUCUCUCACUAGGUUUCCAUUACAAUAGGAACUCUAGCAAUCAAAACACCUAUUACUCAAAUCUUUUUAGGUAAUUAGAACAAAUCCAACCAGAAAAUACUAACCCUUACCAAGGAGAGCAUAAACUUAUCUCAAAACUCAGCUCCAUCAGCCUUCUCAUCAUGCUCCUUAGCUUGCUCACACAACUCAACAUCAACUCCACCAAUUCUCUAUCCUCUACUUCACACGAUUA
rnacentral:lncRNA from 1 species